rnacentral:lncRNA from 1 species
GUUGCGUUCGCAUAGAGUAAAGUGGACCUGAGGUAUUGGAUUGGAAAUUGUUCAUCCGCGAACGUGGAGUUUGGUCUAUGAUCACAUAGUAUAAGUUGGAAGAGCAUUGUGUUCUCAUGGGGUACGCCGCAUUCACAUAGAGUUAAUUCUAAGUGCUGAACAUUUGUUCUUCGCAAUCGUGAAAGUCUUCUCGUGAUCACAUAGAGGAAAAAUAUGCAUGGGCAAAGUGUUUUAAUGUCAUCUUGUAUGCGAAUCUGGGUCUAUCUUCACCCAUGGCUGCCCGUUUUUGGAGGUUUUUGAAGGAAAUUAAAGAGGAAUCGACUUGAGGUAAGAAUCUUUGUCUUAAAACUCGAUUAUAUUGUGAAAUCCACUUAGAAAUUCAUGGAAACUAAGCCUAAAGUUGAAGAACUAGGGCUUGAGAAAUUGGACUUUUGAAUUGGGAUUUGAGGUACCAUAUGAGGUCGGAUUUAAGAACUUUUGAUAUAUAUGAACUCAUGGGAAGAUGAGAAAUCUAAUGAUGUGAAAAUUUCUGAGUUUCGAGAAGUGGGCCCGGGACUCAGAUUUUGGUAAUUUCAGUAUUUAUGACUGUUAUUGAUUGUCUUCGCGUGGGUUUUAUUUCCUAAGCAUAUUGUGAUGUAUUCGCUCUGAUUUUGGAUAGAAUCGACGCGCGUGGAAGCUGACUUGAGGGGCAAAGGCGUCGCGAGCUAGAGAUUUCGGCGAUUCAAGGUGAGUAAUGAUUGUAAAUGAUGUUAUGAGGGUAUGAAACCCCGGAUUGCACAUCGUAGUGGUAUAUUAAAGUGACUUGCACGCCGGAUAGCAAGCGUGGGGUAGAGCACUAUUGGGGAUUUCGACUUGGUCCGUCCCGAUUGAUGAUUUUACUGUGUAUUUGAUUGAAACUUAUUUGUUAUCAUCAUGAUUUGGGCUGAUCGCUAUAUUUGGGCUUCGUGCUAGUUAUUUGAACCCCUUCUUUGAUAUUUCCCCACUGUUUUGAUUUUACACUUGAACUCAGUUGUGUAUUUUCCACUGUUUUCAAAAUUCAGCCUUUGGGCUGAUUGCCAUAUUUGGGCUUCACACCAACUAUUUGAACCCUUUCGGGGAUGAUUGUUGAUAUUUCCUCACUGUUUUGAUUUUAUACUUGAACUCAGUCAUGUAUUUUCUUCUGUUUUCAAACUCAGCAGAGUUUACUUUGCUUUAACACUUGAACUGAUAGUUCCAACAAUAUUUUUGGGUUGAGCAUCAUGUUUUACUGUUGUCACCAAGUUUACUUUGCUUUUACACUUGAAAUGAUAUUUCUAACAAUAUUUUGGGCUGAGCGUCAUGUUUUACUGUUGCCUGAGGGGCUUAUGUGAUUUUUGACUGAAUAAGGCCGAGGGCCUGUGUUGUAGGAUACUUUUGGAUCGGGCUGCAUGCCACAGCAGUGAGAUAGUGAUACUGAUAUGAGGCCGAGGGCGUAGAUUGGAUGCCACGGAUGGCUUGAUAUUGCGCUUGGGCUGUAAGGGGCACUUUUAGAGUCUGCAAACCCCCAGUGAGCGCCGUCGAUGAUGAAUGGAUCGGGUUGCACGGUGCAGCGGUACCGGUACUUUUUUAUAUGUAUACUUAUUUUAUUUGUCUGCCAUUAUCUGUUGUUGUGCUAUUUCAUGUGAUAUCCACCUGAUUGCCUUGCAUUUUCUGCUGAGUGAGUGUUGCGUCCGAGGGGCGGAUUUCUGCGCUUACUAGCACAAAUUGUUUGUAUUCAUUUUCAUAAUGGUUUGAAAAGGGUCCUUUUCAAAAGAAGUUUAAAUUGGGUUAAGACGUUUUCUAAAGAUUUCACAGCUUCAUUGCUUUUCUAAAGGGGUUUUAUACUACUUCUAUACAACAUGAUGAUUUGCCUAACUUGAUUGCCUACUGCUUGGCUAUUAUUUACCUUUUUUAUCCACUGAGUUAUAGUACUUACUUUAAUCCCUACAAAUUGCGUGCAGAUGCGAGUAUACGUUCCCCAGCUAGUGGGUCUUGAGCUGAUUGGCGGCUAAGUUAUUGGAGUUAAGCAAGG